UAAUUUUUUCAAUUUGGCAGCUCAUAUACUAAAAUUGGAAUGCCACAGAGAAGAUUACUAUGGUCCUCAUGCAAGGAUGACACGCAAAUUCGUGAAGCAUAUAAUAUUUUU